GUCCACACUGUAAACGAUGAUUACUCGAUGUUGGCGAUACACAGCCAGCGUCUUAGCAAAAGCGAUAAGUAAUCCACCUGGGGAGUACGCCGGCAACGGUGAAACUCAAAGGAAUUGACGGGGGUCCGCACAAGCGGUGUAGCAUGUGGUUUAAUUCGAUGAUACGCGAGGAACCUUACCUGGGCUAGAAUGCCCUUGACAGAUUCAGAGAUGGAUUUUUCGCAGACAGGAGCAAGGUGCUGCAUGGCUGUCGU
rnacentral:rRNA from 1 species